UUAAUGAGCCUGAUGCCAAAAUGACGGUGACGGCUAUCUUUUUGGGCCAAUGGUCCCUGAAGAGCUGAGCUUCGGACAGCUGAGACAGGGAUUGUGUAUGCACAGAGGGUGCUGGGAGCAUAUCAUAUAGCUAUAGAGGAUGACUCAGUUAUUGUAGUGUCCUGGAUUCAGGAGUAUACGAAAGAUGCAGCUAACUACCC
rnacentral:lncRNA from 1 species